rnacentral:rRNA from 1 species
GAGCGGAUUUUCUGGAGCUUGCUCCAGAAAGUUAGCGGCGGACGGGUGAGUAACACGUGGGCAAUCUGCCCGUAAGACUGGGAUAACUCCGGGAAACCGGGGCUAAUACCGGAUAACCCUGACUCUCUCCUGAGAGUCAGUUGAAAGAUGGUUUCGGCUAUCACUUACGGAUGAGCCCGCGGCGCAUUAGCUAGUUGGUGAGGUAACGGCUCACCAAGGCGACGAUGCGUAGCCGACCUGAGAGGGUGAUCGGCCACACUGGGACUGAGACACGGCCCAGACUCCUACGGGAGGCAGCAGUAGGGAAUCUUCCGCAAUGGACGAAAGUCUGACGGAGCAACGCCGCGUGAGUGAAGAAGGUUUUCGGAUCGUAAAACUCUGUUGUCAGGGAAGAACACGUACGAGAGUAACUGCUCGUACCUUGACGGUACCUGACCAGAAAGCCACGGCUAACUACGUGCCAGCAGCCGCGGUAAUACGUAGGUGGCAAGCGUUGUCCGGAAUUAUUGGGCGUAAAGCGCGC